rnacentral:rRNA from 1 species
GACAGGGGUCUCGAGCGUUAAUCGGAAUCACUGGGCUUAAAGGGUGCGUAGGCGGGCCUGUAAGUGUCCUGUGAAAUCCCCCGGCUCAACCGGGGAACUGCGGGGCAUACUGCGGGUCUGAGGAAGGUAGGCGCCGAGGGAACAGUAGGUGGAGCGGUGAAAUGCGUAGAUAUCUACUGGAACGCCGAUGGUGAAGACGCUCGGCUGGGCCUUUCCUGACGCUGAGGCACGAAAGCGUGGGGAGCAAACAGGG